AUUUUGAUGUAACCAUUUUGAUGUAACCAUUUUGGUGUAGCCAUUUUGAUGUAGCCAUUCUUAAACAAUGGUGGAUCUGACCAAAUCCCACCAAUAAAAAUAGGCCAAGUGGGCUGGUAUUAAAUUGUAGCAAAACCAGACAAAUUUGGUUUUAGAGGCAGUGGAUGAGGCGGCUGUCUUCUCGGCUUUGUUACUUUGUUUAAUAAAGUCUUAUUUUGGCAUCUGAAACUCUGCUUUUUGAGCUUCUCUGACUUCAUUGAAGAAAUCUACUCUCUCGAGCCACGACAUAAAUUGGCGUCACGAACAGGAUUGGAUCGAGGUCCGGCGUCCAUGAGAGCCGUUGCAGGCGGAGGGCCUGGUUGACACGCAAACUAAUCAGAAAUUAAAGGCACCUAAAAAGGUAAGCAAUUUUUGCUUAUAUUGGAAAUAAGAUUGUUUGCGUAGUUGACUAAGGACACGCCUGUGAUGGUGAUCUAAGACAGGGCUUCACCAAUCAACAAAUUUAAGAUUAAUAAAUGUAAAGUAGAAUGAAACGUACAGAGAAAAGAAAACAUCUUUCAACAUGACAAGAGAAGAAUAUGACCAAGCUGUGAAGUCAUUGCAACAAGAGAUGGAUGAACUGUUGAACAACAGUCAAACAAAGCAACCACACCCAAGCUCACAUGAUCAUGUCAAACAGAAGCAAGUCAAGCAAGCAGCUGGUACAUUGAUCAUGCAAGAUAUAGAAUAUCAGGAUGACCUGCUGCAAUCCUGCCAACUUCCAAGAAGAUCAACAAGGAUAAAAAGUAAAACUGAAGCUCCAAAUGAGUGUCCAAUUCUCAUCAAACAAGGACACGCCCAGUACAUACCCUGGGCAGCUCAAGACUUGGACACUUUGGUUUCCCGUCUUCCAGACAUUCAUGAAGGAGCUGGAAAAUGGAUCAAAACAGUUGAAGAAGAAACAACUGGAAAACUUCUGGCUCUGGGUGACAUCAAAGCUUUGCUUGCAAAGUGCCUGGGAGCCUCCAAGAUGAAUGACAUUCUCAAGCAAUCUGGCCUUCUUCAAGCAGUAGACAGACCUCAAGCAGAUGGAGCCUCCUUUAACAAGCAUCGACAUGACAUCUGGAGGACACUGAGGGCUGAAUACCCAAUGCAAACUGAUCCAAAUUUCCUGAAGGGGGAGCCAAUGGGGGAAACUGAGAACCCCACCACCUACAUCCAGAAACAACUGAGAAGAUGGAAAGAAGAACUGGAAAGAGAUCCAGAACACGUACUGACAGUACUCUUCAGGACCUCCAUUGUGGAAGCCAUGCCUGCAGCAGUGAAAGUGAAGCUGGAGGAUGUAGUAGGUCUGAAUUCAAAAUCACACAAAGAAUUCAGAGACCAUGUGGUCCAUGCUGUGGAACAAUACAGAAGACAAGAGCUAAAGAUGAAGAGCCAAGAAAAGGAGCUGCAAAGAAAACUAGCUCAGAUGCAGCUGGAAGAAUUACUCAAGAAGAAAAAGGUCCAAGCAAUACAGAGGGAAGACCUCUCAGCAGUGAUGGCACCUGUCAAUACUCCAGUGCCUGUUAAUCCACCCGCACCAAUGAAUGUGCCUGCUCCAGUAAAUCAGAUUGUAACAGCACAGGCACCACCUGCUGGACAAGGACCAGUACCAAUGGUCAUCUAUCUCAAGCCAGAGCUGUCAAACCGGAACUGGAAUAGACAACAACAACAAGGAGGACGUGUUAGAGGAAGAUUUAACAACAAUCAACAGAGAGCUGGUGGUCCACCAGGAGUGUGUUGGGGAUGUAAUCAGCCUGGACACAACAGAAGAGACUGCCCCAUCAAUCCUUGGCAACAGAACCAACCAAUGACUGCAGGAGUCAACUAUGGACAGCAACAAAUGCAAGCCCAAACUCUAGGUCCUAUCAACCCAUGGCGUGGCCCUGACCAAGGUUACUAGGGCUGCCCAGAGAAUCCCACGGGGAGGAACCAGCUUCCAAAGAUAUCAUUUGAUGCUGAUCAAGAACCAAUGCUGCGAGUUAUGAUUGAAGGAAAACCCAUUACUCUUAUGCUUGAUACUGGGGCUUCGUACUCUUGUUUGAAUCCAAGAUAUGCUUCGCACCUCCCCAUGUCUGGAAAAUAUAUAAAGAGUAGGAUUCUUGGGGGUAACUCAGCUACUUCCUACGACGGCCCCUGUGACCAUAAGCCUGGAAGACACUGAAAUAAAAUACCAAUUUUAGUCUCAGAACACACACCUGUCAAUUUGUUGGGCAGAGAUGCCAUAUGUAAACUAAAAAUGUAGAUAUGGUGUACUCCAGAUGGAAUUUAUGUAAAUGAUUGGGCAGUAAGACAAAUGAAUCUCUCAGAAUUACAAGCACAAGAACCAUGUGCUAACAUAUAUUGGUUAGGUAAUCUAAAAGAUGUAGAAAAAACAAUUAGCAAAUGGGGAAGAUACAUAAGAGAACAGCUUUCUGAAGCAAGCCUACCAAAAACUGAAUUUCAUUGUACAAUGAAGUAUGAUGAAAGCAGAUAGAUAGGAAAAAAUUCAUUGAUGAAUGGUUUGAGGUACCAAAUUCAGUUCCCCAUGUUACAUUAUAUGUGAAUAAAGAUUGUGUUUCUAAGGAUUUAGGCCCCAUGAUGCAAAAAGCAGAAAAAAGCAAGUGGGAAGCCAUAGAGAAUCCUCUAAUUUUCCAAUCAGCAGAUAAAGCAUAUCUUAAAAUUUUGUGUGCUACUCCAAUGAUGGGAGUCCCCAGAAUGAUUAUAAACACAAAAACUAAACCAAAAGUUAAGGGACAUCAAACAAAGCAAACUGAAUUAAUAAAAAAGAUGGAUAAUCAAGUACCAUUAGAGCUAUGGUCAAAGCAUGAUACAAAUGUAGGGUUAGUAAAAUCAGCUAAUCCAAUUAGAAUAGCACUCAGACCUGGAGCUAAACCACCCAGAAAAAUGCAAUACCCUCUGAAAACAGAAGCAGAACAGGGAAUAACAAUAAUUGAAGAAGACAUAGAUGAUGUGGAAUACCCCCGACCAAACAGAAACAGAGUAAAAAGAGCUUAUGAAUUAGACCCAGAUGUGUAUUUAGACUCAAUAGGCCAACCUAGAGGAAUACCAGAGGAAUUUAAUGCUAGAAAUUAGAUAAAGUCUGGUUUUGAUUCUAUAUUUAUAUGGAUAACCCCAAAUAAGAACUUAGAAUGGAUCAAUUAUAUUUACUAUAAUCAACAGAGAUUCAUUAAUUACACUGAUGAUGCCUUAGAUGCUCUAGGAAAACAAUUGGGCCCCACAAGUAAAAUGACCUGGCAAAACAGACAAGCUCUGAAUUGGCUCUUGGUCGAGAAAGGAGGAGUUUGUGUAAUGUUUGGUUCUGACUGUUGUACAUAUAUCCCAAAUAAUACAGCUCCAGAUGGAUCAUUCACCAAAGCAAUGGAGAAACUGAAAAACUUGAGAGAAGAAGUGAAUAAGAACGCUGGAGCAGAUAAGCAUAUUGGGGAUUGGUUUAAUUCACUUUUUGGGGCUUGGGGACAAUGGUUAACCCAAGUGGGCAUCAUAAUAGCUAUUGCUGUUGUUAUGUUUCUUGUGUUGUUCUGUUGUAUUGUGCCUUUCAUCAGGUCCAUACUGGCCAGUGUUGCAGCCAAACAGAUGAUUAAUGUGUCAGUAAGACCAACAGGAAUUGACAUUGGGUACACUAAUGUACCUACAAUGGGACCUGGACUGGAUGAACUAGAUGAUUUUGACCUGGAUGACUUUGUGUAAAACCUUCCUAAAAAACAACGGAGUGGAAGGGAAGGGGCGCCUUUUUAUUUUUUAUUAUUUUUUAUUUUUAUCUUUUAUAGUAGUAUUAGAACCCCUUGGAUAGAGUAGGCAGGAAGUUAGAAGGUACUUUGUAUUUUACUUUGGCAUAUGCCCCUUCCUGAAGUUAUUUACUCCUUAAAUCAUUUAUGUUGAAAUUGUUCAUUUACUAAAUUUAAUCAAAUGUAAAAUGUGAUUAUUGGAAGAAAAAGGGGACGUUGAAGGUUUUAAGCAGGUCACUGUCCAUGUUAUGAGACAGUGCAAACAGAAAAAGGGAACGAUAAAAAAAAGAUUGCUUGAUAUCUGUGAGGUGAUUGAGGGUCUGACCCAUGUCAGGAGUGCAAUAACAGUGUUUAUUCAUUUAGCCAGGCCUGCAGAGAAUAAUGUAAUUAGUUCAUUAUAUGAUAUGACUAAAUUAACCAAAAAAAAAAAAAAGAUAAUUUAUCAGUAUAACAAUUUGUUUCUUUAAACACUGGGAAACAUCACUAAGAAAGUAUGAAGGAAAGAGAGGAUCGACGAGCACCUCAGUGCUUAGCAGCAUGAGUAGAUUCAACUGGAGGUUUAAAAACCCACCAUCUACUCCAACACCAGAUAGUGCUGGGGGGCAAUGAGACUUGCCUGAGAGCUCCUCUGGCAACGAAGGAAAGCAUCACCAGAUAGCGCUUCAGGCUACCGGAAAAGCCUGGAGUUCCUCUGGCCUCGUGGGAUGAACCAGUGAACCAUUUAUUAUGUUAUUUUUGAUUUUUGAUUUUUGAUAAAUUUAAUUAUUUGACUAAUCAUUUAUAUACUCUACAUAACCAUGAUAACCAUGAGCAAGGCUAAGAUAUCUCAUGCACAUGCUUAAAUACAUAUUGCUGAUUUGACUGAUUGUUCAUUGACCCCCAAGAGUGUAUAGGUGGGGAAGCAGAUUCUUUUACUCUUCUCUAGUCAAUUGUGAGGAGAGAUGUUUGGGUCUGACUUCCUCUGAAGUGAAGCAUCAUGAAGAAACCAAUUGUUAAGAGGUAAUGAAGGACCAUUAUUGGUUGACAGAUGAAUAGACGGAUGGGUGGAUUUAUGGUGUUGCACUCUGGGCAAAGAGAUUCAGUGGUGAGACUUAAUAAAGUCUCAGAGGGGGGAAUAUAUUGUGUAAUUUUACUCAUUUUACUCUAUAUUAUGAUAUUUACUGAAUGUGGUAUUAUCUUACUUAAAAUAUGAUGUAUGAUCAUGAAAGCAAUCCAUAUACUGACUAAUAUGCUGAAUUAUUCCAAUACUAGAUGUCUUAAUACAGAUUGUGAAAUAUAAGAAGCCAUCCAUUGUGCAGUACUGGUGUGGGAACAGAAUUUAAGGGGACGAUUAUCAAGGUUAAAAGUAAUACAAAACAACACCACUGUUUCGUGGGAAAGCACAGAGAGUGUAUUACAUAGACUUUUGAAUACUGGUGUUUUUCCAUUUUAGUGUAAACUAAUUAAAUGUUGCAGAUUUGAUGUAACCAUUUUGAUGUAACCAUUUUGGUGUAGCCAUUUUGAUGUAGCCAUUCUUAAACAAUGGUGGAUCUGACCAAAUCCCACCAAUAAAAAUAGGACAAGUGGGCUGGUAUUAAAUUGUAGCAAAACCAGACAAAUUUGGUUAGUAAACAGGUAUAAAAAAGAUGUAUGGACAGACAUAGAAUUAGAGGCAGUGGAUGAGGCGGCUGUCUUCUCGGCUUUGUUACUUUGUUUAAUAAAGUCUUAUUUUGGCAUCUGAAACUCUGCUUUUUGAGCUUCUCUGACUUCAUUGAAGAAAUCUACUCUCUCGAGCCACGACAAUACUGACGUACAGGGAAAUGAUACAGUGAUACAGUGGAUGUUUGGAGCUGAAGACCCAGAUACUGUCAUUGCUGAAAUCAAUAGAGCGGCAAAUAUCAGUGAUGUUACUGAUGAGAGAUUCAGAGACAGAGUGAAGAUGGACAGUCAGACUGGAUCUCUCACCAUCACCAACAUCAGAACCACAGACUCUGGACUUUAUAAAGUAGAGAUCACCACAAAUAAAGAAGCAGAGAAAACAUUUAAUGUAACUGUCUACGCUCUUCUUCCUGUUCCUGUCAUCAUCAGAGACGCUUCACAAUGUUCUUCUUCAUCUGAGAGUUCAGAUAAAUGUCUAAAUGUUCACUGUUGUGUUCAGUGCUGAAUGUGAGUCAUGUGACUCUCUCCUGGUUCAAAGGAAACAGUUCAAUCUCCAGCAUCAGUGCGUCUGAUCUCAGCAUCAGUCUCUCUCUAUCUCUGGAGGUGGAACAUCAGGAUAAAAACACCUACAGCUGUGUGUUAAACAACACCAUCAGCAACCUGACCACACAUCUGGACAUCAGUCGACUCUGUCAGCCGUGUGCAGGUACAUCAGUCAUAUUUGUGUUUAUUUACUUGCCUACUCUGUUGGUUGUGUUCAGGUGUGAUGUAAGCAGUGAUUGGAAGCUGUAUAAUUCUUUGUGAUAUUAGACUAGCAGAUGAGUUUACACUAAUAAUGACUGUCUUUCUUCAGGCGUUACAAAACACAUAGUGCUGAUAUCUGUUGCUGCUGGAACUCUGUUGAUUGUGGCUGUAGUUGGGAUGUUCUGUGUCUGCAGGAAAUGUAGAAAAACAGAUUAAGAAGGCAUGUAUAACUAAAGUACAUUUAAUACAUCGUAAAAAAAUAUGAACAAACAGAAUUUAAUAAAUUUGUCAUUAUUGAGGAAGAUUAUUAUUGGCCCUUGAGGAAGAGAUAACUUACGCUGAUCCAACGUUCUAUAAAAGAAAUGCACAAAAAAUGGUAAAAAAGAAAAAAAAGAAAAAAACAGUUAUUAAUGACUUUGCCAUGUCUCUGCAUUAGUUCUAGUGACCCACUUUCACUCACCAUGUUUUCCAGUCUUUGUGUUGCUCAUCACAGUGACUUAAGUGAACUGAUAAUCACAGGAUUUGAAAAAGUAGCAUAGACAAUCAUAUUUAUCAUUUACGCAAACACUACUGCAGAAGACUUUUUGGGACUUCUUUACACUUAAUAAAGUUUCUUUAUUGGCAUCUACAGUAUAUUUCCAUGAAGAACCUUUAACAUCAACUGAGUCUUUUCAUUCCACAAAAGGUUCUUUAGAUUUUUUUAAUAUUCUUCACACUAUAUAUAUAAUAUUUGUAAUAUUUUGUAUUUUACCAUUUAUUUUUGUAAUCAGUACUCAACAAUACUCAGCACUGUAUGUGACAUGUUUGUGCAAUAUGGUCCUACGAGGCUAUGAAGACAUUGCUGUUGCCAGCUACCAUAUCACGUAUUAUGAUCAUUUUAGUUGGAUGACUUAGUAAGAUGUAAACUAAUUGCUUCGGAAUAAAUUAUAAAAUAUGAAUAUGAUGUAUGUAUAAUUCAUAGUAUAAAUAUAAAUUCAAUUCAGUUUCAAUUAAAUUUCACUUUUAUUGUUGGAGUUUCAUUCAGUUUUUAUUCUUGCAUCCCACAGCAUGGCAAUUAUGGAAAUUACAUUUUAAUAAAACUAAAAUGGCCAAAGUCUUACUGUAAGACUAAUUGUUACGUUGACCUAGUUUCCUUAGUUCCCUUGAUUAGUUAAUUAGCUCACCUGUUUCCCCUUGAUUACUUUUAGUAUUUAAAGCCUGUGUUCUCCCCUGGUUCUUUGUCUGCUAUUAUUUGAUCAUUGUGUUUUGCUAACCCCUCGCUCCUGGAUUAUCUCUGUUUCUUGUUUGGAUUUUUAUUAAAAUACUCUGUUUUGUUUACACUCCUUCAUCGUGCGCUUAUUGGUAAAACACCAUAACACUAAUAUCAUAGCUAGCAGCAUUUUGUGUAUCCUAAAAACAGUUAAAUUAUAUUUUCAGACAUUUAGUUAGACACAGAAUGACUGGAAAAGACAUGCUAUAAUUAUAAAAUCUAUAAAUAUUUAGCUUGAUUUUUCCACAUCACCUAUUUAAUCUCAAGAUUUUCACAUACCCUAUUGUCUUCUUGAUAAGCAAAUGCACUAAUUUAGAAAAAAAAAAAAACUUAAUUGGUGGCAAAAUUACAGUUAAUGUGCAAAAGUUAUAUAACUUGUCCAAUUUCAGACAGCUUGUUAUUUGUGUUGAAUUUUUGUUGUUUCUUUUAGCAAUGGUUAAUGCAUGCUUGAGUUAUGUAACAUUUUUAGUAUGAUUCAUUAAAAAAAGAAGCAGAAUAUAUUAUACAAAAGUUGUGUUGUGUAUGGUUUUUGUUUUGUUUUGUUUUGUUUUUUUCCAGCGCGUUAAACAAGAGGAUGAGGUGGUGUACGCAGGCAUCAGGAGAUAAUCACAUUCUGAUUCCUCAUUAAUUAUGUUUUGCUCAUAUUAACUGUUUUUCUUUGUUUUAUAUAUUACUUUUUAAAUAUUUAUUGUUUUUAUUUAAAUAUACUUUUAUUUGUGAUAUUUGUGAGUGUGUUUUCUUCUGAUGAUUUAUACACUGAUCAUUUAAAAUUAAAUGGAUUUUAACCAGGAGUUUGUACAGGAGUUGUUACUGUAAAUGUUUUUGCUGCAGUAGUGUAUCUGAAGAACACCUUGCAGAAGCAGAACUGACAAGCCAUCCAUGUUUAAU